UUAUAAUUUUACCUCUAAUUAUUAAAAACCCCAAUUACCCAAUUAAACGUUUAAUUGCUUCAACCCACUAUAUUAUAUUAUAAAAACAGGUUACCCGAUAUUUUAAUCGUAACAAAUUGCAAUAUUUAUUUCAGGCCAAUUAUAAUCAAAUCCCAAAUAUUAAAAUUCCAAUUACCAAUUAAACGUUUAAUUAUUUUAACCCACAAUAGCCUAAUUUUUAAAAACAGGUUCCCCCGAUAUUUAAAUUGUAACUUUAUUUCCAUAUAUUUUAACGUCCGUAAAUAUUUUAAAGGCGAUUCCAGUUAAAUUGCGAAAUAUAAAGGAAAAAUUUACCUGGGUAAAUUAAAAUUGAAAAUUUUUAUAAUACCAUUUCCAUUUAACGUAUAUAGCAGUUUAAUAAUAUAUAUCCAAUGGGCAUUUUUGCGUUAUAUAAUUUCGGUUUUCCUCGUUUUGUUUACCCUACCUGUUAAUAAGGCGCCAUUAUCGACGAAAAUUUGCAAAAUCUCUUGGUGGCCUCCUAAUAAAGCGGUUUGGAGAGCGUUACCGUAUUCGCCGCCCUAAAUAUUAACGCCCGCACCGUUAUUUAACACUUUUUCCACAAUUUAAAAUACGUUUCCCCCAGCCAUAUAAUAAAAUAAAGGAGUUAUAAUUUUUUCAAAAUUGUUAAAAUUUCCUUUAUCCUAUAGUCUGUCGGGAUUGUAAAAGCUAAAACAAAUUUAAUAACAUCUUUUAUUUUAAACGAAUUCCCAAACAAAAUUCCUAAUUCCGUUUAUAUUUGGUCCAGGUUAAGCGUGGCCUAUCCAAUAUCGUGCAACGUAUUAUACUAGGGGCCAAUUUCGUAAUUUUACCGCUAUAAGAUCGUGGUUUAGGUCCAGCAAAUAUACCAGGCAGAUUUCCGCCAUAUAUUGCCUAAUAAACCUUUUUUCAAAAUAUAAUAAUAUAUUGCUUUCCAAUCGAUCCGAUAUAAAGUAUUUUUUUAUUGAAAAAUGCGCAAAUUGUAGCUUUUUUUUUAUAUUCCCGUCCCCGUCGGUUUUAUUAAAUAUAAUUACCAAAUUCGAAUAAUAUAUAGAAAUUUCGUUUGGUUCGGGCAUUUUAUAAUUGGCGUUAAAUUUUGGCUUUUUUUCCAAAUCGACGGCGUUUAUAUCGAUAGCCUUUUCAAAUAAUAAUAAUCGCUCGGAAAACGUAAGGAAUUGCAAAAGUUUUGUCGCGUUGCGCUCGUAAUCCGGCGGGAUUUUUCUCAAAAUACGUGCGUAUAUUUCGUCCAGCGUUUUUGGUAGCGUUUUGAACGCCGUUCGAAGAUUAAUAGGAUUAGGACAAUUUUCCAAAAAGUCGAAUUGGCACAAAACCUAUCGAAACCUGCAUUCCAAUUUAAUAAUAUAUUUUAGGUAAUUAAAUAAGGGUUUGUUUUUACAUUUUAUUGGCCUUUUUUAUUAAAUAAAUUUCGAUUUUUUGCUAAAUAUCCUUUCGUUUUUACCAUCGUUUUAAUUUUUCGUAAUAUUUUACCCUUUUAUAAAUAUACGCGCAAAUAUUUCCUGCGACCAAAUUGUUUUAUAUAAGUAUUCGAUGGUCCACGAAUUUAUUUAAAAUUAAUUCGAUAUUUCGUUUUGGACGAUUCGUAAAUAAAAAAUAAAUAUUUGCUCGUAAACCUUUCAAAAAUUCCUUAAUCCAAAACAGCAACCUUUCGUUUUUUAUAUUUUUUUUUAUUUGGUAUUUGUCGAAUACGUCCAAUAUAAUUCAAAUUUCGCCAAUAUGCUAAGCCAUUUUUUCCAAAAUUUCGUUUAACAAAUUAACGGUGGGUAUUUGCGACCCAUUUUCGUAAAAGAAGUAAAACGAAUAUAAAUACCCCUGGUAAACGCUCGGGUUUUUUUGGUAUAAUUGGUAUAUAAACGACCGAAUCGCAUUUUCGAAUAAUUGUUUGCUGGUAUCGUUAAAAUUAAAAUAAAAAUAAAUAAAAUUGUCGGAAUAAAACCUGGUAUGGCGCAAAUCGUCGAUAAUGGUCGAAUUAAAAAUUAUUUUACCACAACCGGGAAUAUUAUAAAACCAUAAAAAAAAUUUUGGCGUUAUUUUCCAUUGCAAAUAUUUUUCGUUUUUCAAAAACUAUUGGCCUAUAUUUUUAUAACGUUGUUCCAAAGUUUUUUUGUCGUUUGUCGAUAUAUUUGGCGGGGCGAACCAUUUAAUAAUUUCCUGAAAAUGCUGGUUUUGGUGCAAUUCUUUUACGGUGGAAUGGGUUUGCAAAACGGAUUUAUAUAUUGUAAAUUAUAUAAAUUUAAACAUUAAACCUAAUAUAAAUAUAUAUAACCCGGAUUACUUUUCAAAACGCGUUUAUUUCCAACCUAAAUUAUAACGUUAACGUUA
rnacentral:sRNA from 1 species